AGUGAACGCUGGCGGCGUGCCUAAUACAUGCAAGUCGAACGGAGUGGGCACGGGUGAGUAACACGUGGGUAACCUCCCAUCAGAGGGGAUAACACUUGGAAACAGGUGCUAAACCGAUACUGAUGGAUGGACCCGCGGUGCAUUAGCUAGUUGGUGAGGUAACGGCUCACCAAGGCCACGAUGCAUAGCCGACCUGAGAGGGUGAUCGGCCACACUGGGACUGAGACACGGCCCAGACUCCUACGGGAGGCAGCAGUAGGGAAUCUUCGGCAAUGGACGAAAGUCUGACCGAGCAACGCCGCGUGAGUGAAGAAGGUUUUCGGAUCGUAAAACUCUGUUGUUAGAGAAGCGGUAUCUAACCAGAAAGCCACGGCUAACUACGUGCCAGCAGCCGCGGUAAUUC
rnacentral:rRNA from 1 species